GACGAACGCUGGCGGCGUGCUUAACACAUGCAAGUCGAACGGAAAGGCCCUGCUUUUGUGGGGUGCUCGAGUGGCGAACGGGUGAGUAACACGUGAGUAACCUGCCCUUGACUUUGGGAUAACUUCAGGAAACUGGGGCUAAUACCGGAUAGGAGCUCCUGCUGCAUGGUGGGGGUUGGAAAGUUUCGGCGGUUGGGGAUGGACUCGCGGCUUAUCAGCUUGUUGGUGGGGUAGUGGCUUACCAAGGCUUUGACGGGUAGCCGGCCGGUGAGGGUGACCGGCCACAUUGGGGCUGAGAUACGGCCCAGACUCCUACGGGAGGCAGCAGUGGGGAAUAUUGCACAAUGGGCGGAAGCCUGAUGCAGCAACGCCGCGUGCGGGAUGACGGCCUUCGGGUUGUAAACCGCUUUCGCCUGUGACGAAGCGUGAGUGACGGUAAUGGGUAAAGAAGCACCGGCUAACUACGUG
rnacentral:rRNA from 1 species